GAUGAACGCUGGCGGCGUGCUUAACACAUGCAAGUCGAACGGAAAGGCUCCUGCUUGCAGGGGUACUCGAGUGGCGAACGGGUGAGUAACACGUGGGUGAUCUGCCCUGCACUUCGGGAUAAGCCUGGGAAACUGGGUCUAAUACCGGAUAGGACCACAUUUUGGAUGGUGUGGUGGAAAGUUUUUCGGUGUGGGAUGAGCUCGCGGCCUAUCAGCUUGUUGGUGGGGUAAUGGCCUACCAAGGCGUCGACGGGUAGCCGGCCUGAGAGGGUGUACGGCCACAUUGGGACUGAGAUACGGCCCAGACUCCUACGGGAGGCAGCAGUGGGGAAUAUUGCACAAUGGGCGCAAGCCUGAUGCAGCGACGCCGCGUGGGGGAUGACGGCCUUCGGGUUGUAAACUCCUUUCGCUAGGGACGAAGCGUUUUUGUGACGGUACCAGGAGAAGAAGCACCGGCUAACUACGUG
rnacentral:rRNA from 1 species